GCCGGGGUGGCGGAACGGUAGACGCGGCGGCCUCAAAAGCCGCUGUCCGAAAGGGCGUGCGGGUUCGAUUCCCGCCCCCGGCA
rfam:Gemmatimonas sp. SG8_23 WOR_8-12_17630, whole genome shotgun sequence.